rnacentral:rRNA from 1 species
UUGCACGCUGGCGGCAGGCCUAACCCAUGCAAGUCGCACGGUAACAGGAAGAAGCUUGCUUCUUUGCUGACGAGUGGCGGACGGGUGAGUAAUGUCUGGGAAACUGCCUGAUGGAGGGGGAUAACUACUGGAAACGGUAGCUAAUACCGCAUAACGUCGCAAGACCAAAGAGGGGGACCUUCGGGCCUCUUGCCAUCGGAUGUGCCCAGAUGGGAUUAGCUAGUAGGUGGGGUAACGGCUCACCUAGGCGACGAUCCCUAGCUGGUCUGAGAGGAUGACCAGCCACACUGGAACUGAGACACGGUCCAGACUCCUACGGGAGGCAGCAGUGGGGAAUAUUGCACAAUGGGCGCAAGCCUGAUGCAGCCAUGCCGCGUGUAUGAAGAAGGCCUUCGGGUUGUAAAGUACUUUCAGCGGGGAGGAAGGGAGUAAAGUUAAUACCUUUGCUCAUUGACGUUACCCGCAGAAGAAGCACCGGCUAACUCCGUG